rnacentral:rRNA from 1 species
UUAAGCGACUAAGCGUACACGGUGGAUGCCCUGGCAGUCAGAGGCGAUGAAGGACGUGCUAAUCUGCGAAAAGCGUCGGUAAGGUGAUAUGAACCGUUAUAACCGGCGAUGUCCGAAUGGGGAAACCCAGUGCAAUUCGUUGCACUAUCGUUAACUGAAUACAUAGGUUAACGAGGCGAACCGGGGGAACUGAAACAUCUAAGUACCCCGAGGAAAAGAAAUCAACCGAGAUUCCCCCAGUAGCGGCGAGCGAACGGGGAGCAGCCCAGAGUCUGAAUCAGCUUGUGUGUUAGUGGAACGGUCUGGAAAGUCCGACGGUACAGGGUGAUAGUCCCGUACACCAAAAUGCACAGGCUGUGAACUCGAAGAGUAGGGCGGGACACGUGGUAUCCUGUCUGAAUAUGGGGGGACCAUCCUCCAAGGCUAAAUACUCCUGACUGACCGAUAGUGAACCAGUACCGUGAGGGAAAGGCGAAAAGAACCCCGGCGAGGGGAGUGAAAAAGAACCUGAAACCGUGUACGUACAAGCAGUGGGAGCACCUUCGGGUGUGACUGCGUACCUUUUGUAUAAUGGGUCAGCGACUUAUAUUCUGUAGCAAGGUUAACCGUAUAGGGGAGCCGCAGGGAAACCGAGUCUUAACUGGGCGUUAAGUUGCAGGGUAUAGACCCGAAACCCGGUGAUCUAGCCAUGGGCAGGUUGAAGGUUGGGUAACACUAACUGGAGGACCGAACCGACUAAUGUUGAAAAAUUAGCGGAUGACUUGUGGCUGGGGGUGAAAGGCCAAUCAAACCGGGAGAUAGCUGGUUCUCCCCGAAAGCUAUUUAGGUAGCGCCUCGUGAAUUCAUCUUCGGGGGUAGAGCACUGUUUCGGCUAGGGGGUCAUCCCGACUUACCAACCCGAUGCAAACUACGAAUACCGAAGAAUGUUAUCACGGGAGACACACGGCGGGUGCUAACGUCCGUCGUGAAGAGGGAAACAACCCAGACCGCCAGCUAAGGUCCCAAAGUCAUGGUUAAGUGGGAAACGAUGUGGGAAGGCACAGACAGCCAGGAUGUUGGCUUAGAAGCAGCCAUCAUUUAAAGAAAGCGUAAUAGCUCACUGGUCGAGUCGGCCUGCGCGGAAGAUGUAACGGGGCUAAACCAUGCACCGAAGCUGCGGCAGCGACACUAUGUGUUGUUGGGUAGGGGAGCGUUCUGUAAGCCUGCGAAGGUGNUGCUGGAGGUAUCAGAAGUGCGAAUGCUGACAUAAGUAACGAUAAAGCGGGUGAAAAGCCCGCUCGCCGGAAGACCAAGGGUUCCUGUCCAACGUUAAUCGGGGCAGGGUGAGUCGACCCCUAAGGCGAGGCCGAAAGGCGUAGUCGAUGGGAAACAGGUUAAUAUUCCUGUACUUGGUGUUACUGCGAAGGGGGGACGGAGAAGGCUAUGUUAGCCGGGCGACGGUUGUCCCGGUUUAAGCAUGUAGGCUGGUUGUCCAGGCAAAUCCGGAUAAUCAAGGCUGAGGUGUGAUGACGAGGCACUACGGUGCUGAAGUAACAAAUGCCCUGCUUCCAGGAAAAGCCUCUAAGCAUCAGGUAACAUCAAAUCGUACCCCAAACCGACACAGGUGGUCAGGUAGAGAAUACCAAGGCGCUUGAGAGAACUCGGGUGAAGGAACUAGGCAAAAUGGUGCCGUAACUUCGGGAGAAGGCACGCUGGUGUGUAGGUGAAGCCCCUGCGGGUGGAGCUGAGACCAGUCGAAGAUACCAGCUGGCUGCAACUGUUUAUUAAAAACACAGCACUGUGCAAACACGAAAGUGGACGUAUACGGUGUGACGCCUGCCCGGUGCCGGAAGGUUAAUUGAUGGGGUUAUCCGUAAGGAGAAGCUCUUGAUCGAAGCCCCGGUAAACGGCGGCCGUAACUAUAACGGUCCUAAGGUAGCGAAAUUCCUUGUCGGGUAAGUUCCGACCUGCACGAAUGGCGUAAUGAUGGCCAGGCUGUCUCCACCCGAGACUCAGUGAAAUUGAACUCGCUGUGAAGAUGCAGUGUACCCGCGGCAAGACGGAAAGACCCCGUGAACCUUUACUAUAGCUUGACACUGAACAUUGAGCCUUGAUGUGUAGGAUAGGUGGGAGGCUUUGAAGCGUGGACGCCAGUCUGCGUGGAGCCAACCUUGAAAUACCACCCUUUAAUGUUUGAUGUUCUAACGUUGGCCCCUGACCGGGGUUGCGGACAGUGUCUGGUGGGUAGUUUGACUGGGGCGGUCUCCUCCCAAAGCGUAACGGAGGAGCACGAAGGUUAGCUAAUCCUGGUCGGACAUCAGGAGGUUAGUGCAAUGGCAUAAGCUAGCUUGACUGCGAGCGUGACGGCGCGAGCAGGUGCGAAAGCAGGUCAUAGUGAUCCGGUGGUUCUGAAUGGAAGGGCCAUCGCUCAACGGAUAAAAGGUACUCCGGGGAUAACAGGCUGAUACCGCCCAAGAGUUCAUAUCGACGGCGGUGUUUGGCACCUCGAUGUCGGCUCAUCACAUCCUGGGGCUGAAGUAGGUCCCAAGGGUAUGGCUGUUCGCCAUUUAAAGUGGUACGCGAGCUGGGUUUAGAACGUCGUGAGACAGUUCGGUCCCUAUCUGCCGUGGGCGCUGGAGAAUUGAGGGGGGCUGCUCCUAGUACGAGAGGACCGGAGUGGACGCAUCACUGGUGUUCGGGUUGUCAUGCCAAUGGCACUGCCCGGUAGCUAAAUGCGGAAGAGAUAAGUGCUGAAAGCAUCUAAGCACGAAACUUGCCCCGAGAUGAGUUCUCCCUGAGACUUUAAGUCUCCUGAAGGAACGUUGAAGACGACGACGUUGAUAGGCCGGGUGUGUAAGCGCAGCGAUGCGUUGAGCUAACCGGUACUAAUGAACCGUGAGGCUUAACCUU